AUGCAGAACAGAGAAAUGAAAAAAAUCCUUGAUGCUCAAAAGGAAAAAACUUUGGCAAAAAAGCACAUGUUUGAAAACCUGAAUAUAAAAUUAUUGGACCUGCAGCAUCAGAUAAGUCUGAAUUCCACGGCAAUACAUAAUGAGGAAAUUCUCAUCACAAAACUGAAAGAAAAGAAGGAACAUUUGGAAAAAAAGAUGGAUCUCAAACAGGCAGACAUGGCAGCGGCCUUGGAAAAGAAAAAUCAGAUUGAUUCUGAGCUACUGCUUGCACAAUCAAAAAUUGCACGAGAAAAAGAGGAUUUUGAUCAGGAACUUGGAAAGGCUAAUGAAUAUCUACAAAACGCUGAAUGCCUGAACAACAAACUUAAAUUGGAAAACAAAGCUGUGCACCAGAAGUUUGAGCGAGCACUGGAAGAAGAAAAACACUGGGCCAGAAGAAGAGAUGAGAUGGAGGCAAAAAUGUCCAGGGAAAGUAAUGCAAAGGAACUGGCAUCUCUAGAGCAAAAAUUGAAGGCAGAAAAUAAGAUGAGAGUGAUGCUUCAGUGGAAGCUACUGUACUUAGCAAAGCAAAGCAAACUCUUUUUUUUGGAGGAGGAGAAUAUAAGCAGAAGAGUGAAUGAAAGGAUAGACACUGGUGAGAAAAGGCAUGCUGAAUUACUUCUGGAGACCGAAGAGCUUGAAAAAGAACUUCUUCAGUCUGAAAAGCAAAUCAAAGCGCUGACUGAAGAAGCAAUAAAGAGAAAAAAUGAUUACAGGAGUUAUAAUGAAGAUUUUACUAAUAAAAUAAAAUACCUGGAGGAUGACAUCAGAACUGCAAGUGAAAAUCUUCUUAAAAUAGAACACAAGUUUAAGGUGAGCAGGCUAACUUUGGAAGAAACCCAGAAGGAAAGAGAAGAGAAGUAUGCAGAAUACAAAGAGUUGAGGAAAUCAUUUUUGAAAAAGAAAGAUGAAGAGUUACGAAUCCAAAGAGCCAUUCAGAAAUCAAUCAAGACCACUGGGAUGCUCAAGGAGGAAAUUCUGGAGCUACGGAAGCAAUUGUGCAUCAAGCGUGAUGCUGCAGUCAGCCAGCUGAAACAUCAAACUGAGAGUAUGAAGUUGCUAGAAAGAGACAUCUAUGAGAUCAACAGAAAACUUGACAUUGUGAACACCGAGAACUGCAGAUUCAAAUUAUGCAAUGCACAGAUGAAAGAAGAUAUCCUGGCAAUGAAUUCUGAAGCAGAAGGCCACCAGUCAGCAAUAGUGAAAAUUGGGCAUGACCUGGCAGUGCUUCAUGGUUUUCUGCUGGAGAGAUGGUCAGAGGACAGCUCUCUUCAGAAGGAAUUUCUGGAGAAUGAGCAGGAAAUUCUGAAUGCAGUGACAGCCCUACUAAGAAAAAUCCAGCAUAGAGAGGAAAAGAUUGGUGACAUUAACAGCAGGCUACAAAAUAGUCUGGAAGGAAUGGAUUCUCUGCUUGAAAAAAAAUCUAGAAUGGAUGAUGAUGAAUCAGAUGCAGUGAAGAAUAAAUGA
rnacentral:lncRNA from 1 species